rnacentral:rRNA from 1 species
GAGACUCUGUGCGCGUGCAUAUCAAUAAGCGGAGGAAAAGAAACUAACAAGGAUUCCCCUAGUAACGGCGAGUGAAGCGGGAAGAGCUCAAAUUUGAAAUCUUAAAGGGUUUCCCUUUACGAAUUGUAGUUUAAAGAAGUGUUUUCUGUUGGAGUUUCGGUAAAAGUUCUUUGGAAUAGGACAUCAUAGAGGGUGAGAAUCCCGUAUUUGACCGUUACUUUCCAGCUGUGUGAUACACUUUCAAAGAGUCGGAUUGUUUGGGAAUGCAGUCCAAAAUGGGUGGUAAAUUUCAUCUAAAGCUAAAUAUUGGCGAGAGACCGAUAGCGAACAAGUACCGUGAGGGAAAGAUGAAAAGAACUUUGAAAAGAGAGUUAAACAGUACGUGAAAUUGUCAAAAGGGAAGCGUUUGACACCAGUGUUGUUUAGUUGAAAAUCAAUUCAAUAAUUUUUGAUUUUAAGUAGUAUUGACUUCAUCAGCUUGCUGCUUUCUUUUCAGGAAUUAUUGAAUGCACUUUUCAGUUAACAAGUCAACAUCAAUUUCUUUUGUUGUAAAAGGGUAAGAGGAAGGUGGCUUACGCUUCGGCGUAAGUGUUUAUAGCCUUUUACCUCUGCAAUCGGAGAGAUUGAGGACAGCAGCGUAGACUCUUCGGGGUUAGAUACACUUGUGCUAAGCUAUAGCCUUGUAUAGACAACUUGUUGACUAUGCUCAGUCAUGUAGCUUACUCGCUUGUGCUAUUUUACCUACGCUUAGGAUGUUGAGUCGUAGAGCACGCAGAGUGAGACUCUGUGCGCGUGCAUAUCAAUAAGCGGAGGAAAAGGUAACCUACGCUUAGGAUGUUGAGUCGUAGAGCACGCAG